ACAUUUUCGGAUAUAUGCGAGGUAAAAAAUAUCCACAAAUUUUUUAUACGGAUGAAGGAUUGGAUAACGGGUAAACACUGUCCUCAGCCCCAAAAUUACAAGAAUGAAAUUCCCAAAAUCCCCAGAUUCUCAAUUUCAGAGAACCCUAAAUCCCAAUUCGCGAAAACAUAACUCCAAUUCGCGCUUCCCAUAUACGGAAAAGAAAUCAAAAGUGACCACCCCAAAUCUCGAGCCAAAACGCGUUCUCCCUUUGUCGUGAAAACGCUGGAGAGGAAACCCUUUCGCCACGAAGACAUCGACGCUAUGGCACCCACUGCCACAAAGAGAUCGCUACACUUGAACCACCGGAAGCUCGCCGCAAAGACGCUAAAGCACUGAGUGUCGCGAAAAAAGUGCCGUAGAGAAGCCACUGCUUUGACGCCCAUUGGUCGCGAAGAUGGUUGUCGCCUCUUUCGCACUCCCCUUCCCUUCAACCAGAAAAGCACCAUAAACAAGAGGAAGAAGAGUGCCUUUCCCUAUCUAUCAAGUCGCAUUUUGGUACUCCAACUAUUUCCUGUUGAAAGAGCUUUUUUAGGAAGUAAAUGAGAUGUGGGCAGGUUUGGGCUACUACCGAAGAGCUCGUUUUCUUCUAGAGCAAAAGGCAAGGCAUUGAAUGCGUGCAUCAAAAUCUCAUAGUUCAUGAACUGGAUAUUGCAAACAUAGAGUAUCUGAAGCUUUUCAUGUAAGAUCUUUAAUGUCUUGUUGUAGAACUUCCUUUACACGGCAAUUUUGAAUGGCCAAAUACCAG
rnacentral:sRNA from 1 species